GCCAUCAGAUGUUAUUAGCUAUGUUUGCAGGGGUAAUGCAGACUGUGCAGUCCUUUAAGAUGGUGAAGUAACUCUAGAAUUUAUUUGAUUUGUGUGUGGGAAAGAGAGCCUUACUCUUCUAUCCUUAAAAUCACAUUGGCCCAUCUUGUUCUAAUACCAUUUAUAUUUUGACAUGUUAUGUGAUAAUUUUUCCUCCAAAUAUACUAUAUGGCAAGGUUCUGAAGGCUUAAUCUAUUUCAAAAAGUUUUUCAGCAGCUAGUUCUUUAUUAGAAUUCUAUUUCCUGGAUCUCAGGCAUUCUAUAACAGCUUUAGAAUUUAUAUAACUUGUCUGUUGAUUUCAAUUAGAAUAUACACAUCUCCAUUUACCUUCUAUUGCUUUAAUUCUCUCCCCCUUUUCUUUGCUUGAGGAUUUUUCUCCCUGGGAAUUCUUAAGAUUUUUGAAUUGGAAGGGUUUGAGUAAAUGUGCAUAAACCAACUUCAAAAAAAAUUGCAUAGAGCCAGAGAAGAAUUUAGAAGAAUUAUUUUUCAUUAGGAUCAAAAUGCAUGCACCUAGAAAUCCUCACUCAUUUAAACUACUACGGUUGUAGAUUACCUACAUACAUACGACUGUUUUAAGAAAAGCAGUAACAAUGAUACCGGUUAAGAACUCACAUUUUAGGAGUUCCCGUCGUGGCGCAGUGGUUAACGAAUCCGACUAGGAACCAUGAGGUUGCGGGUUCGGUCCCUGGCCUUGCUCAGUGGGUUGCGGGUUCGGUCCCUGCCCUUGCUCAGUGGGUUGCGGGUUCGGUCCCUGCCCUUGCUCAGUGGGUUAACGAUCCGAAUCCGACUAGGAACCAUGAGGUUGCGGGUUCGGUCCCUGCCCUUGCUCAGUGGGUUAACGAUCCGGCGUUGCCGUGAGCUGUGGUGUAGGUUGCAGACACGGCUCGGAUCCCGCGUUGCUGUGGCUCUGGCGUAGGCCUGUGGCUACAGCUCCAAUUAGACCCCUAGCCUGGGAACCUCCAUAUGCUGUGGGAGCGGCCCAAGAAAUAGCAAAAAGACAAAAAAAAAAAAAAAAAAAAAAAAGAGUCAACUGUAUAUACAAUAUUCCAUCCCAAAGCACAAACUAUGUAUUUUCAAGUUGCAUGUGCACCAUUCUCCAGGAUGGAUCAUAUAUUAGGCCAUAAAGAUAGUCUUAAUAAUGUAAGAUUAAAAUUAGCAAGCAUAUUUUCCAACUACAAUGGCUAGAAACUAGAAAUCAAUUACAAGAAGAAAGUUGGAAAAUUCCCAAAUAAGUAGAGAUUAAACAACACACUAACAGACAACCAAUGAGUCAAAGAAUAACACAAGAUAAGUAAAAACAAAAACAAAAACUAAAAAAACCUUGAGACAAAUAAAAGUGGGACUACAACAUGGCA
rnacentral:lncRNA from 1 species